UCCUAAUCAGACAAUCACAUCAGCCAACUCCCUCAGCAGUCUUGGAUGCAUUGCAUAUGGCCCCAUGGACUUGUGCAUGUCCAGCUUUUCUAAAUAGUCCUUUACCUAUUCUUUCACUACUGUGGGC